UCCUUUUAUUUUGUCUCUUGUUUCGUUAAAAGAUGACUCCCGGCGGGAACACCAUCGAAUUAUUGGCUUAAAAGAAUAUUUAUUUGGUGAAGAUUGCUUUUAUUUACACAGCAUGUAUACUCUAUGAAAUGUGAUAUUCAACCUCUUUCCAUAUGAACAUGAAUCUAUGUACAGAUCUGGAGAUGAUACGCGUUAUACACGUACAGAUGUUCUGUUUAACAUUGAACGUUAUGACGCUGUAAUGUGCACAUGAUGUGUCGAACGUGUUCUCUCUCGCCCCAGAGCCACGGGUCAAGGCUGGGACGCAGUGAAAGACCUUGUACUGUGGCACUGCUUGCACUGUUGUCCUGUACUUACAUAUAUCGCUUCGCUUGCAGCUCCUCAUUUGUAAAGCACUUUGGAUAAAAGCGUCGGCUAAAGGAAUAAAGGAAUAAAGGAAUAAACGAAUAAAUGUCACAUGGAUUUAUGGCUCUUUGACCAUAUUGAGAUCUGAACUCACAACCUCCAGCCCAGGGAUUUUAAUGUGUAUCUUGAUUAUUAGAUCGUUUGACAGGGCAAGGCAGCAAACUGGCAAUAAUUUGGCAUUUAAAUACAAAUUCUGGCACCCGAGGAGGACGAGGAUGAGGAGGAGGUGGUGGAGGAGGACGAGGAGGACGAGGAUGAGGAGGAGGUGGUGGAGGAGGACGAGGAGGAGGACGAGGAGGAGGAGGAGGCCUGGAUUAGGAUUGUGCAAUAUAAUGAUUCGAUCAUCCCGACACUGGUUCUAUUAUGUUUGUAGACCUGGUCAGCGUUUUCUCUCCCAUAAAACGGGAUUAACUGUAACCCUGGAAGCCCCGCCCACUUCCCGCAAUCUCACACGCACUCGCUCUGUUGCUCCCCACAUAAACGGAGAACACUUUGAUUUCAAUAAUGUCAAAUAAAAGCUAACAGG